rnacentral:misc_RNA from 1 species
UACGUAGGGUGCGAGCGUUGUCCGGAAUUAUUGGGCGUAAAGAGCUCGUAGGCGGUGUGUCGCGUCGGUCGUGAAAACUUGGGGCUCAACCCUGAGCGUGCGGUCGAUACGGGCACCACUUGAGUUCGGCAGGGGAGACUGGAAUUCCUGGUGUAGCGGUGAAAUGCGCAGAUAUCAGGAGGAACACCGGUGGCGAAGGCGGGUCUCUGGGCCGAUACUGACGCUGAGGAGCGAAAGCGUGGGGGGCGAACAGG